AGCAGCCGCGGUAAUUCCAGCUCCAAUAGCGUAUAUUAAAGUUGUUGCAGUUAAAAAGCUCGUAGUUGAAUUUCGGGAUCAGCAGGUCGGUCGUGCCACUGGUAUGCACUGGCCUUGCUGAUUCCUCCCUCUUGAUGAGCCGUAAUGCCAUUAAUUUGGUGUUGCGGGGAAUCAGGACUGUUACUUUGAAAAAAUUUAGAGUGUUUAAAGCAGGCAUGCGCUUGAAUACAUUAGCAUGGAAUAAUGAAAUAGGACGUUCGAUCCUAUUUUGUUGGUUUCUAGGAUUGACGUAAUGGUUAAUAGGGAUAGUUGGGGGCAUUAGUAUUCAAUUGUCAGAGGUGAAAUUCUUGGAUUUAUUGAAGACUAACUACUGCGAAAGCAUUUGCCAAGGAUGUUUUCAUUAAUCAAGAACGAAAGUUAGGGGAUCGAAGACGAUCAGAUACCGUCGUAGUCUUAACCAUAAACUAUGCCGACUAGGGAUCGGAUGAUGUUAAUUUUUUAAUGACUCAUUCGGCGCCUU
rnacentral:rRNA from 1 species